rnacentral:lncRNA from 1 species
UGAAGAACAGGCUUGAAGGGGCCUAUAAAAGGACCUAAGAAUUGUAGUUACAGGCUGACUUGGCUGUAUGGAGCUCUUCCCACCUUUCUUACCAUGUGAAGGGAAGAAUGAGGCUUACUGCUAAGACUCCGCAGAUCUCAGUUCCAGAUUUCUGUGAAAACUGUUCCGCCAAGUAUGAGGUACUUAAGCAGUCAUUUAGGCUUGAAUUACUUCAAGAUUACCUGAGAGUCCCUCCUACAAAGAAUUUCCAGAACAUUUUGCAAAGAACUGGGGGUGCCACUGCGCAUCUGGGUACUUGCAAACUGAUGUGCUGCUUUUGUCAUGACUGCUGUGUAACUGUCUGGGGACCUAGAUGAAAACAGGGUAAGCUCCCUUGCAUCUAUUUUAAGGCAAGCUCUUGCACAUGGACUGUAACUAUGGAGAAAUUAGUGUACUGUGUGUUCUCACCCUCACUUCACCCUGAAGUAACUUAAGUGCAACUAUAAAUAGAAAAUCC